AGCAGCCGCGGUAAUUCCAGCUCCAAUAGCGUAUAUUAAAGUUGUUGCAGUUAAAAAGCCCGUAGUUGAACUUCAGACCUGGCUGGGUGGUCCGCUUAACGGCGAGUACUGUCUGGCUGGGCCUUACCUCUUGGUGAGCCGGCGUGUCCUUCACUGGGUGCGUCGGGGAACCAGGACUUUUACCUUGAGAAAAU
rnacentral:rRNA from 1 species